CAAGCACUUGGUUCGCCCCUUACUAUAACCAUCCCACUCAAUCUUUUACAAUGAUGUUUCGUACUCUCUCGACUAGGUCAUCAUAAGAAAAUACUGCCAAAUCUUUCCGAAAUGAGAGAAUGAGGGAAGGCGCGCUACAACUAA
rnacentral:rRNA from 1 species